rnacentral:rRNA from 1 species
UGGGGAAUUUUGGACAAUGGGCGAAAGCCUGAUCCAGCCAUGCCGCGUGAGUGAAGAAGGCCUUCGGGUUGUAAAGCUCUUUUAGUCGGAAAGAAAGAGUUGCAAUGAAUAAUUGUGAUUUAUGACGGUACCGACAGAAAAAGCACCGGCUAACUACGUGCCAGCAGCCGCGGUAAUACGUAGGGUGCGAGCGUUAAUCGGAAUUACUGGGCGUAAAGGGUGCGCAGGCGGUCUUGCAAGUCAGAUGUGAAAGCCCCGGGCUUAACCUGGGAAUUGCGUUUGAAGCUACAAGACUAGAGUGCAGCAGAGGGGAGUGGAAUUCCAUGUGUAGCAGUGAAAUGCGUGGAGAUGUGGAAGAACACCGAUGGCGAAGGCAGCUCCCUGGGUUGACACUGACGCUCAUGCACGAAAGCGUGGGGAGCAAACA